GACGGAGGGCGCAAGCGUUGUUCGGAAUUACUGGGCGUAAAGCGCGGGCAGGCGGCCUGUUAAGUCUACUGUGAAAACCCGGGGCUCAACUCCGGGAAUGCAGUGGAUACUGGCAGGCUAGAGAAUGGUAGAGGCUAGCGGAAUUCCUGGUGUAGCGGUGGAAUGCGUAGAUAUCAGGAAGAACACCUGUGGCGAAGGCGGCUAGCUGGGCCAUUUCUGACGCUCAUCCGCGAAAGCGUGGGGAGCAAACAGG
rnacentral:misc_RNA from 1 species